GAGUGGCGGACGGGUGAGUAAUGUCUGGGAAACUGCCUGAUGGAGGGGGAUAACUACUGGAAACGGUAGCUAAUACCGCAUAACGUCGCAAGACCAAAGAGGGGGACCUUCGGGCCUCUUGCCAUCGGAUGUGCCCAGAUGGGAUUAGCUAGUAGGUGGGGUAAAGGCUCACCUAGGCGACGAUCCCUAGCUGGUCUGAGAGGAUGACCAGCCACACUGGAACUGAGACACGGUCCAGACUCCUACGGGAGGCAGCAGUGGGGAAUAUUGCACAAUGGGCGCAAGCCUGAUGCAGCCAUGCCGCGUGUAUGAAGAAGGCCUUCGGGUUGUAAAGUACUUUCAGCGGGGAGGAAGGGAGUAAAGUUAAUACCUUUGCUCAUUGACGUUACCCGCAGAAGAAGCACCGGCUAACUCCGUGCCAGCAGCCGCGGUAAUACGGAGGGUGCAAGCGUUAAUUGGAAUUACUGGGCGUAAAGCGCACGCGGGCGGUCUGUUAAGUUAGAUGUGAAAUCCCCGGGCUCAACCUGGGAACUGCAUUUGAUACUGGCAAGCUUGAGUCUUGUAGAGGGGGGUAGAAUUCCAGGUGGAGCGGUGAAAUGCGUAGAGAUCUGGAGGAAUACCGGUGGCGAAGGCGGCCCCCUGGACGAAGACUGACGCUCAGGUGCGAAAGCGUGGGGAGCAAACAGGAUUAGAU
rnacentral:rRNA from 1 species